rnacentral:rRNA from 1 species
GACAGAGGCCUCAAGCGUUAGGCGGAAUCACUGGGCUUAAAGCGUGUGUAGGCGGAUCGUUAAGUGUCUUGUGAAAUCCCACGGCUCACCCGUGGAACUGCUGGGCAUACUGGCGAUCUUGGGCCAACUAGGGGCAACUGGAACAAGCGGUGGAGCGAUGAAAUGCGUAGAUAUCGCUUGGAACGCCGAAGGUGAAAACAGGUUGCUGGGGUUGUGCCGACGCUGAGACACGAAAGCCAGGGGAGCAAACGGG